UGACUUUGAACUUGAAAUUUUGCAGGUUUGUAGAACAUCACACUCCCAACAUAUGGUAUUUCUGUAGAAAUUUUUUGAAACUUUUAAACAUGUUUUUUAUGAAGUUUGCGCGGUUUACACCGAAUGAAGAUUUUCAUCGGAUACGCAGCCGACUAAUAAUUGGUGGGGGAUUCGACUAUAAGCUGGAAGGUUUACAUGGGCUUUGGACAGUCACACAGAUCUUGGCCCGAUAUACUUAUAUCGGUUAGCUCGAUCGAACCGAGGAAGCUGAUUCUUCUUCUUUUUUCCUUUUUUUUUUAGAAGAGUAAGCUGAUUGUAGAACAGAGAUGACGGAGCUUCUUCAGUUUUUAUGAUUCUUCAGUUUAUACGGUCGGUUUUAAAUUCAGGACUCUUAAUUCGGGUCUGGUACAUCAUUUUUUAUGCCCGCCCCUACACGUUACCUAUACAAAGAAACCGAACCAGCUUUUCCGCAAAAAGAGAGAAACCGAACCAGCUACCGUACGUGAGCCGGUAUCAGGGACCACGGCUAAACGUUUCCUGUGUUGAGUGACUCGAGUGAGCUAUUCAUGAACUUCAGUCUAUUUUACUACUACUACGAUGCAGAAUACAUAGCAUGGCACUCUCAAUUGCUGUCUGCCGGUUUGUAGGCAAGGUCGUGGUCAGGGUCCUAUAAGGAUAAGAUCACGUAAUCUAGUC
rnacentral:lncRNA from 1 species